UGAUGUCAAUGAUGAGUCAUUUUAAUGGUUGAAAUAGUCGUAGAGAGAGACAGAAAUCGUGACUGACGUCCCUUCCAAUUUCCACUUAUCUUGGUUAAUAGCCAAGAUUGAAUGAGAAAGAAAGAAAAGAGAUGAGGUUUUGUAUUAAUCAAGCCUCAGCAUAAUAACUCGGUUAGAACUGCUGGAACAUAGUGAGACGGACACCAGUUUUUGGCCUAUGAGUGGAAGCGAGUUAUUAUGAUUCGUAAUAGUGAAGUGUCAUUUGCGAAUGUGUCGACUCUGAUUCCUAGUGAAGCCCUGAAACUGCAAGUUGUGAAAAAAAAAUAAAUUUUUUUUUGCCUAUUUUGUAAUUUAUUAUUUCAAGUUACAGUAUUGUUAUUUUGACGUUAACUCGUAACACUUACAUCGAUAGAAUGCCACGUUAUUGGUAUAAUAAAGGUUUUUGGACCUUUUGAGUUUGACAACAAAAGUCGAAAUAAUGAGACAAAAUAAUGACAAUCUGAAAAGUGUAGAGUAAUAUAAUAUUAAGUUAUUAAGUGGAAAUAAUAACAUAGCACUUCAGCAUUUUCAUGCAAGUUGUGGUUUAAGGGUUUUGUAGAUUCGCAGAUCCUGUGACUCUCUUGCUCAAAAUUCGUCUCUGCUGUGGUGUGUAUUCCGAUUUCUCUACUCUGUGUCUGGAGUGUGUUCUGGUGUCUCUCUGACAGUUUGGGUUCUGGUCUCUUGGGCGGCAGUGCUCCAUGCUUUAUAGCAGCUUGUUUCCUUUUCUCUGGUUUCUUUGUGAUGGUGUAUGGGUUCUGGGUUCUCUCUGUGAUGGUGUAUAGGUUCUGGGUUCUCUCUGUGAUGGUGUAUGGGUUCUGGGUUCUCUCUGUGAUGGUGUAUGGGUUCUGGGUUCUCUCUGUGAUGGUGUAUGGGUUCUGGGUUCUCUCUGUGAUGGUGUAUGGGUUCUGGGUUCUCUCUGUGAUGGUGUAUGGGUUCUGGGUUCUCUUAGUGAAAGUGUAUGGGUUCUGGGUUCUCCUUGUGAAGGUGUAUGGGUUCUGGGUUCUCAUUGUGAUGGUGUAUGGGUUCUGGGUUCUCUUUGUGAUGGUGUAUGGGUUCUGGGUUCUCUUUGUGAUGGUGUAUGGGUUCUGGGUUC
ensembl:lncRNA